AGUAACACGUGGGCAAUCUGCCCUUCACUCUGGGACAAGCCCUGGAAACGGGGUCUAAUACCGGAUAACACUCUGUCCCGCAUGGGACGGGGUUAAAAGCUCCGGCGGUGAAGGAUGAGCCCGCGGCCUAUCAGCUUGUUGGUGGGGUAAUGGCCUACCAAGGCGACGACGGGUAGCCGGCCUGAGAGGGCGACCGGCCACACUGGGACUGAGACACGGCCCAGACUCCUACGGGAGGCAGCAGUGGGGAAUAUUGCACAAUGGGCGAAAGCCUGAUGCAGCGACGCCGCGUGAGGGAUGACGGCCUUCGGGUUGUAAACCUCUUUCAGCAGGGAAGAAGCGAAAGUGACGGUACCUGCAGAAGAAGCGCCGGCUAACUACGUGCCAGCAGCCGCGGUAAUACGUAGGGCGCAAGCGUUGUCCGGAAUUAUUGGGCGUAAAGAGCUCGUAGGCGGCUUGUCACGUCGGAUGUGAAAGCCCGGGGCUUAACCCCGGGUCUGCAUUCGAUACGGGCUAGCUAGAGUGUGGUAGGGGAGAUCGGAAUUCCUGGUGUAGCGGUGAAAUGCGCAGAUAUCAGGAGGAACACCGGUGGCGAAGGCGGAUCUCU
rnacentral:rRNA from 1 species